UAGCCAUAUCACGUUGAAACUACCAGUUCCCAUACUAUCACAAAAGUUAAGCAAUGUCGAGUCAAGUCAGUACCUAGAUAGGUGACUGCUUGGGAAUACCAGGUGCUA